rnacentral:lncRNA from 1 species
UGGUGGGCCAAUUGUGUCACUGUUUCUCUGUGUCAUGAUAGAUCUCAAUUGAGCGGCGGCGGCUGACCUAAGGGCCGGAAGCCCUCUUUCCAGGGAACGACGAGGCCGGGAGUGAGUCGCCAGUCCCAAGACCCCAAAGACCGGUGCUCCCCGCCCGAGGCUCCCCGUGCGCUGGGGGCCACCCUCCGGGAGCCACGAGGCAGGAAGCUAGCCAGCCGGAAGACUGGCGCUCCCCACCCGCGGCUGCCUGUGGGCCGGAAGCCCUCCUUCCGGGGAACAACGAGAGAAAGUGCUGAUAUUUUAGAAAGUCCUCUGCAGGUGUUAAUCAUGUGCGACGAUGUCAGGGGACAGCAUGCCCCCCAGGCGGCACCUCCAGUACACUCCAAAGUAAAAGUGUGUUUUUUCCUCUAA